CUUCUUCAAUUUGUUGUGGGCAAAUAUAGUGAAUGUGCGAAUCAAUGCCACCAGCGGUCACAAUUGAUCCUUCUGCGGCAAUAAUUUCUGUACCCGGACCAAUAAUGAUAUCCACGCCCGGCUGCACAUCUGGAUUGCCCGCUUUACCAAUGCCACAAAUACGGCCAUCUUUUACCGCAAUGUCGGCUUUCACGACACCCCAAUGAUCUAAGAUCACUGCAUUGGUGAAAACCAGAUCAGGAGUAAAUUCAGACACGCGCUGGCUUUGCCCUUGACCAUCACG
rnacentral:sRNA from 1 species